rnacentral:rRNA from 1 species
UACGUAGGGUGCGAGCGUUACUCGGAAUUACUGGGCGUAAAGUGUGCGCAGGCGGCCGAGCAAGUCGAGUGUGAAAGCCCCGGGCUUAACUUGGGAAUUGCGCUCGAAACUACUUGGCUGGAGUGUGGCAGAGGAAGGUGGAAUUCCAGGUGUAGCGGUGAAAUGCGUAGAGAUCUGGAGGAACACCGAUGGCGAAGGCAGCCUUCUGGGCCAACACGGACGCGCAUGCACGAAAGCGUGGGGAGCAAACAGG